rnacentral:rRNA from 1 species
AUACGUAUGUCCCGAGCGUUAUCCGGAUUUAUUGGGCGUAAAGCGAGCGCAGACGGUUUAUUAAGUCUGAUGUGAAAGCCCGGAGCUCAACUCCGGAAUGGCAUUGGAAACUGGUUAACUUGAGUGCAGUAGAGGUAAGUGGAACUCCAUGUGUAGCGGUGGAAUGCGUAGAUAUAUGGAAGAAUACCAGUGGCGAAGGCGGCUUACUGGACUGCAACUGACGUUGAGGCUCGAAAGUGAGGGUAGCAAACAGGAUUAGAUACCCUGGUAGUCCACACCGUAAACGAUGAACACUAGGUGUUAGGAGGUUUCCGCCUCUUAGUGCCGAAGCUAACGCAUUAAGUGUUCCGCCUGGGGAGUACGACCGCAAGGUUGAA